UACGAGGGGUGCAAGCGUUGCUCGGAAUUAUUGGGCGUAAAGGGUAGGUAGGUGGUCUCAUUUGCCUGGGGUGAAAGCCUUGAGCUUAACUCAAGAAGUGCCCCAGAAACGGUGAGACUAGAGUCCUGGAGAGGGUCGUGGAAUUCCCGGUGUAGCGGUGAAAUGCGUAGAGAUCGGGAGGAACACCAGCGGCGAAGGCGGCGACCUGGACAGGUACUGACACUCAACUACGAAAGCGUGGGGAGCAAACAGG
rnacentral:rRNA from 1 species